rnacentral:rRNA from 1 species
UUGGGGGAUUUCAAUGAAAUAUUAUAUCCUUUAGAAAAAGAGGGGGGUAACGCGCGACCAAAUUGCAUGAGGGAUUUCCGUGAAUGUCUUAUGGACUGUGGGCUAGAGGAUUUAGGAUACAUCGACGACCGUUUUACGUGGAGUAGAGGUGUAAUUAGAGAGCGUCUUGACCGUGCAAUGUAUAAUGUAGGGUGAGCUCAUAAAUUUCUGCGUGCAACUAUUUUUAAUGAAGAAUAUGUUCACUCUGACCACCGUCCGUUAGUCCUGGACACAAACUAUCUGGAUGAUAAUAUUUUUAAACGUCCGACGGGGUGUGUAAAACAAUUUGAAGCUAAGUGGCUAAAGGAAGAUACGUUAAUGAAAUCGUGA